GAUGUAGGGGAGACUGGAAUUCCUGGUGUAGCGGUGAAAUGCGCAGAUAUCAGGAGGAACACCGAUGGCGAAGGCAGGUCUCUGGGCAUUAACUGACGCUGAGGAGCGAAAGCAUGGGGGAGCGAACAGGAUUAGAUACCCUGGUAGUCCAUGCCGUAAACGUUGGGCACUAGGUGUGGGGGACAUUCCACGUUUUCCGCGCCGUAGCUAACGCAUUAAGUGCCCCGCCUGUGGAGUACGGCCGCAAGGCUAAAACUCAAAGGAAUUGACGGGGGCCCGCACAAGCGGCGGAGCAUGCGGAUUAAUUCGAUGCAACGCGAAGAACCUUACCAAGGCUUGACAUGAACCGGAAACGUCUGGAAACAGGCGCCCCACUUGUGGUCGGUUUACAGGUGGUGCAUGGUUGUCGUCAGCUCGUGUCGUGAGAUGUUGGGUUAAGUCCCGCAACGAGCGCAACCCUCGUUCCAUGUUGCCAGCGCGUAAUGGCGGGGACUCAUGGGAGACUGCCGGGGUCAACUCGGAGGAAGGUGGGGACGACGUCAAAUCAUCAUGCCCCUUAUGUCUUGGGCUUCACGCAUGCUACAAUGGCCGGUACAAAGGGUUGCGAUACUGUGAGGUGGAGCUAAUCCCAAAAAGCCGGUCUCAGUUCGGAUUGGGGUCUGCAACUCGACCCCAUGAAGUCGGAGUCGCUAGUAAUCGCAGAUCAGCAACGCUGCGGUGAAUACGUUCCCGGGCCUUGUACACACCGCCCGUCAAGUCACGAAAGUUGGUAACACCCGAAGCCGG
rnacentral:rRNA from 1 species